UGGCGACUCCCAAAGGCUCAGCAUUAAGGUGGGUGGAAUAAUAUAACAAUAUUCUCUAUGUUGUUAUAGUAUUCCACCUACCCUGAUGUUCUGU
ensembl:miRNA